rnacentral:rRNA from 1 species
AUGAACGCUGGCGGCGUGCCUAAUACAUGCAAGUCGAGCGAACAGACGAGGAGCUUGCUCCUCUGACGUUAGCGGCGGACGGGUGAGUAACACGUGGAUAACCUACCUAUAAGACUGGGAUAACUUCGGGAAACCGGAGCUAAUACCGGAUAAUAUAUUGAACCGCAUGGUUCAAUAGUGAAAGACGGUUUUGCUGUCACUUAUAGAUGGAUCCGCGCCGCAUUAGCUAGUUGGUAAGGUAACGGCUUACCAAGGCAACGAUGCGUAGCCGACCUGAGAGGGUGAUCGGCCACACUGGAACUGAGACACGGUCCAGACUCCUACGGGAGGCAGCAGUAGGGAUCUUCCGCAAUGGGCGAAAGCCUGACGGAGCAACGCCGCGUGAGUGAUGAAGGUCUUCGGAUCGUAAAACUCUGUUAUUAGGGAAGAACAAAUGUGUAAGUAACUAUGCACGUCUUGACGGUACCUAAUCAGAAAGCCACGGCUAACUACGUG